rnacentral:rRNA from 1 species
CAGCAGCCGCGGUAAUACCGGCGGCCCGAGUGGCGGUCACUAUUAUUGGGCUUAAAGCGUCCGUAGCCGGGUUGGGAAGUCCUCCGGGAAAUCUGGCCGCUUAACGGUCAGAAUGCCGGAGGAUACUCCCAGCCUAGGGAGCGGGAGAGGCCGAGGGGAUUCCCGGGGUAGGGGGGAAAACCUAUAAUCCCGGGAGGACCACCUGUGGCGAAGGCGCUCGGCUGGAACGCGUCCGACGGUGAGGGACGAAGGCCAGGGGAGCAAACCGGAUUAGAUACCCGGGUAGUCCUGGCUGUAAACGAUGCGGACUUUGUGUCGGACAAGCUAUGAGCUUGUCCGGUGCCGGAGGGAAACCGUUAAGUCCGCCGCCUGGGGAGUACGGCCGCAAGGCUGAAACUUAAAGGAAUUGGCGGG